rnacentral:rRNA from 1 species
AUUGAACGCUGGCGGCAGGCCUAACACAUGCAAGUCGAGCGGAUGAAGGGAGCUUGCUCCUGGAUUCAGCGGCGGACGGGUGAGUAAUGCCUAGGAAUCUGCCUGGUAGUGGGGGAUAACGUCCGGAAACGGGCGCUAAUACCGCAUACGUCCUGAGGGAGAAAGUGGGGGAUCUUCGGACCUCACGCUAUCAGAUGAGCCUAGGUCGGAUUAGCUAGUUGGUGGGGUAAAGGCCUACCAAGGCGACGAUCCGUAACUGGUCUGAGAGGAUGAUCAGUCACACUGGAACUGAGACACGGUCCAGACUCCUACGGGAGGCAGCAGUGGGGAAUAUUGGACAAUGGGCGAAAGCCUGAUCCAGCCAUGCCGCGUGUGUGAAGAAGGUCUUCGGAUUGUAAAGCACUUUAAGUUGGGAGGAAGGGCAGUAAGUUAAUACCUUGCUGUUUUGACG